rnacentral:misc_RNA from 1 species
UUUUUUUUUUUUUUUUUACUAGUUUAGUUUAUACUUCUAUAGUCUUCUGUUUCUCCCUUUGGUAUUGAACUCAUUGACAUGGCCAAUAGUAUUAUACAUGCAGAAUUUCAAUUGAAUGAAACCCCCAGCAGCUUUUUGAGAUAUUCUAUUGUUUCUUGCAGAACCAGGCAGCUUCUUCUCAUGACUUUAAUUUCUAACCUUAUCCAAUAUCCAACUCGAAUUGUUGAGAGAAGCAACCAGGUCGAUAUUGAUUACUUGCAUUAUAAAAAUAAAUAAAUAGGAAUUUAGAUUGAUUUCGAGGGAAAACACAUGCUUUUCAACUAAGUGGAUAUUCCAAUAGGAAUUUAAUAAAUAAAUAAAUAA